AAUCAACGCUGGCGGCGUGCCUAACACAUGCAAGUCGAACGCGAAAGGGGAGCAAUCCCUGAGUAGAGUGGCAAACGGGUGAGUAACACGUGGGUGACCUGCCUUCGAGUGGGGGAUAACGUUCCGAAAGGAACGCUAAUACCGCAUGACAUCCUGCUUUUGGAGAAGCGGAGAUCAAAGCUGGGGAUUCGCAAGAACCUAGCGCUUGAAGAGGGGCCCGCGCCUGAUUAGCUAGUUGGUGGGGUAACGGCUCACCAAGGCUUCGAUCAGUAUCCGGCCUGAGAGGGCGGACGGACACACUGGGACUGAGACACGGCCCAGACUCCUACGGGAGGCAGCAGUGGGGAAUUGUUCGCAAUGGGCGCAAGCCUGACGACGCAACGCCGCGUGGAGGAUGAAGAUUUUUCGGAUCGUANAACUCCUGUCGAGUGGGAAGAAUAGCUUCCGGGCGAAUAUCCCCGGAAGU
rnacentral:rRNA from 1 species